rnacentral:rRNA from 1 species
CCAAUAGCGUAUAUUAAAGUUGUUGCAGUUAAAAAGCUCGUAGUUGAAUUUCGGGAUCAUCAGGUUGGUCGUGCCUCUGGUAUGUACUGAUUUCGAUGGUUCCUCCUUCUUGAAGAACCGUAAUGCCAUUAAUUUGGUGUUGCGGGGAAUCAGGACUGUUACUUUGAAAAAAUUAGAGUGUUUAAAGCAGGCAAUCGCUUGAAUACAUUAGCAUGGAAUAAUGAAAUAGGACGUUCGGUCCUAUUUUGUUGGUUUCUAGGAUUGACGUAAUGAUUAAUAGGGAUAGUUGGGGGCAUUAGUAUUCAAUUGUCAGAGGUGAAAUUCUUGGAUUUAUUGAAGACUAACUACUGCGAAAGCAUUUGCCAAGGAUGUUUUCAUUAAUCAAGAACGAAAGUUAGGGGAUCGAAGACGGUCAGAUACCGUCGUAGUCUUAACCAUAAACUAUGCCGACUAGGGAUCGGAUGAUGUUAAUUUUUUAAUGACUCAUUCGGCGCCUUACG